rnacentral:rRNA from 1 species
UACGGGGGGGGUAAGCGUUGUUCGGAAUUACUGGGCGUAAAGGGCUCGUAGGCGGCCAACUAAGUCAGACGUGAAAUCCCUCAGCUUAACUGGGGAACUGCGUCUGAUACUGGAUGGCUUGGAUUCGGGAGAGGAAUGCGGAAUUCCAGGUGUAGCGGUGAAAUGCGUAGAGAUCGGGAAGAACAUCAGUGGCGAAGGCGGCCUGCUGGGCUGUUGCUGACGCUGAGGCGCGACAGCGUGGGGAGCAAACAGG